AAUUCGUGUUGUGGGCACCUCUGCAAAAGAUCCUUGAAGCGCUUCCAUGUUUCAAACUAUAAUUCCAACUCCAUCUGUACAAAUGAUGAUAUAUUAUUGUGAAGCU